CGGGGUGCAGCAGGCGCGAAAACUUUACAAUGCUGGCAACAGCGAUAAGGGGACCUCGAGUGCCAGGAUACAAUCUUGGCUGUCGUAAUGCCUAAAAAGCAUUGCAUAGCAAGGGCCGGGCAAGACCGGUGCCAGCCGCCGCGGUAACACCGGCGGCUCGAGUGGUAACCGCUAUUAUUGGGUCUAAAGGGUCUGUAGCCGGCCGGAUAAGUCUUUUGGGAAAUCUGGCAGCUUAACUGUCAGGCUUUCAGAAGAUACUGUUUCGGCUCGAGGCCGGGAGAGGUGAGAGGUACUUCAGGGGUAGGGGUGAAAUCUUGUAAUCCUUGAAGGACCACCAGUGGCGAAGGCGUCUCACCAGAACGGUCCUGACGGCAAGGGACGAAAGCUAGGGGCACGAACCGGAUUAGAUACCCGGGUAGUCCUAGCCGUAAACGAUACUCGCUAGGUGUCGGCCACGGUGCGACCGUGGUCGGUGCCGUAGGGAAGCCGUGAAGCGAGCCACCUGGGAAGUACGGCCGCAAGGCUGAAACUUAAAGGAAUUGGCGGGGGAGCAC
rnacentral:rRNA from 1 species